rnacentral:lncRNA from 1 species
UCACAGUAAUCCAAACACAUUGCCCAUGGCCAUGCCAAGGCGUCAGGGGAGCGCGGAGGCAGGGGGCUGGCAGCCACAGCCGACCACGCACUGCGGUCUCGUCGGAAAGCAAGGCUCUCCCGCUACAUGCGAACAACAGUAACACACAUUAUUCGGGCAGCUGGGCGAAGGGAUCUGCGGGCAGAUGCACAUUUGGAGCUUGCUGCCAUCCAUCUGACCACUUGUUCGACCUGUACCAAAGCAGAGAAAGGUCGAUUAGACCAGGCUAUCAGCAGGUGAUUAAAUAAUUUCCAAAAUGUUUCCGGGAAUCUUCUUGGAUUCACUUUGUGUGCAAUUCGUCGAAACUAGGCGGCGGUGAUCGAAUGAUUUUUGAAAACAACUAAACUUUUACAAGAAUUCAAACUAUUACUUCUGAAGUAGGUACUAGUGCGACUUACACUGUGAAUGUAUUGUGGUACAUGCGAGGAUGAUCAUCAUAAGCAUCGCAGCCCAGUUUCC